rnacentral:misc_RNA from 1 species
UUUCCGUGGGUGAACCUGCGGAAGGAUCAUUACCGAGCGAGGGCCCUCUGGGUCCAACCUCCCACCCGUGUCUCUUGUACCUCGUUGCUUCGGCGGGCCCGCCCCACGGCCGCCGGGGGGCAUCUCGCCCCCGGGCCCGCGCCCGCCCGUAGCCCCCUUAAAUUCUUAAUAAACCUGUCGUCUGAGUCUAGAUAUAAUAAAAAAAACUUUCAACAACGGAUCUCUUGGUUCUG